CUCUAAAAGAGAAAGGGCCUGCAGCCAUAGUACCUUCUGCUUUGAUCUUUUCAGCUCUCAUAAGAUAAGCAGGGUUCUGCCUGAUCAGUAAUUGGAUAGGUGAUCUUAAAAACAAAAACCAGGCAUUUUAGUGA
rnacentral:rRNA from 1 species